rnacentral:tRNA from 1 species
ACUUUCUUAGUAUAGCUAGUACAAGUGACUUCCAAUCACCCAGUCUUGGUUAAACCCCAAGAGAAAGUA